rnacentral:rRNA from 1 species
GCCCAGACUCCUACGGGAGGCAGCAGUGGGGAAUAUUGCACAAUGGGGGAAACCCUGAUGCAGCGACGCCGCGUGAGCGAUGAAGUAUUUCGGUAUGUAAAGCUCUAUCAGCAGGGAAGAAAAUGACGGUACCUGACUAGGAAGCCCCGGCUAACUACGUGCCAGCAGCCGCGGUAAUACGUAGGGGGCAAGCGUUAUCCGGAUUUACUGGGUGUAAAGGGAGCGUAGACGGCUGUGCAAGCCAGAUGUGAAAGCCCGGGGCUCAACCCCGGGACUGCAUUUGGAACUGUGUGGCUGGAGUGUCGGAGAGGCAGGCGGAAUUCCUGGUGUAGCGGUGAAAUGCGUAGAUAUUAGGAGGAACACCAGUGGCGAAGGCGGCCUGCUGGACGAUGACUGACGUUGAGGCUCGAAAGCGUGGGGAGCAAACAGGAUUAGAUACCCCAGUAC